rnacentral:rRNA from 1 species
GACGAACGCUGGCGGCGUGCUUAACACAUGCAAGUCGAACGGAAAGGCCUGCUUUCCCUUGUGGAUUGCGGGUACUCGAGUGGCGAACGGGUGAGUAACACGUGAGUGAUCUGCCCCCAACUUGGGUAUAAGCCUGGGAAACUGGGUCUAAUUCCCGAUAGGACUGCAGGGUGGUGCCUGUGGUGGCAAACGAUUUUCUAGUGGUUGGGGAUGAGCUCGCGGCCUAUCAGCUUGUUGGUGGGGUAAUGGCCUACCAAGGCGGCGACGGGUAGCCGGCCUGAGAGGGUGGACGGCCACAUUGGGACUGAGACACGGCCCAGACUCCUACGGGAGGCAGCAGUGGGGAAUAUUGCACAAUGGGCGGAAGCCUGAUGCAGCGACGCCGCGUGGAGGAUGACGGCCUUCGGGUUGUAAACUCCUUUCGACCGCGAGGAAGCCACCUGGUUGGAAGGGUGGUGACGGUAGUGGUAGAAGAAGCACCGGCUAACUACGUG